CGCAACCAUGUUGCAGCUUCUAUCCACAUGUGUGAGCAAAGGUCUGUAACCAUUUUGAGAAAUCAAUUCACAUAUGAUUCAAGACAAUAAAGUCCAUCUAAAAGCCAAACUUUUUUGCUACUUUUGGAUCACAUUCUGAUAUUCGUGCAGCAGAAAUUUUGCCGCAGCAGCCAAGACUUGACCCAUAUGAUCCUUGUACACAACUCCCAAACCAUACCUAUAUUCUUGCGUACUGAGGCAUCAUAAUUAGCUUUAACCUGUUGGGGAACAGGUCCUUUUCAACUUUGUUCUAUUGUUGCUGCAACAGGUUGAAGUUGCUCAUUGUGCCA
rnacentral:lncRNA from 1 species